rnacentral:rRNA from 1 species
CAGCAGCCGCGGUAAAACGAAGGGUGCAAGCGUUAAUCGGAAUGACUGGGCGUAAAGGGCGCGUAGGCGGUUUUGACAGUCAGAUGUGAAAUUCCUGGGCUUAACCUGGGGGCUGCAUUUGAGACGUCAAGACUAGAGUGUGAGAGAGGGUUGUGGAAUUCCCAGUGUAGAGGUGAAAUUCGUAGAUAUUGGGAAGAACACCGGUGGCGAAGGCGGCAACCUGGCUCAUUACUGACGCUGAGGCGCGAAAGCGUGGGGAGCAAACAGGAUUAGAUACCCCCGUAGUCCCUGUCUCUUAUAC